rnacentral:rRNA from 1 species
CAGUAGCCGCGGUAAUACGAAGGGUGCAAGCGUUACUCGGAAUUACUGGGCGUAAAGCGUGCGUAGGUGGUGGUUUAAGUCCGUUGUGAAAGCCCUGGGCUCAACCUGGGAAUUGCAGUGGAUACUGGGUCACUAGAGUGUGGUAGAGGAUAGUGGAAUUUCCGGUGUAGCAGUGAAAUGCGUAGAGAUCGGAAGGAACAUCUGUGGCGAAGGCGACUAUCUGGGCCAACACUGACACUGAGGCACAAAAGCGUGGGGAGCAAACAGGAUUAGAGACCCCCGUAGUCCCUGUCUCUUAUAC